GACGAACGCUGGCGGCGUGCUUAACACAUGCAAGUCGAACGGAAAGGCCCUGCUUGCAGGGUUCUCGAGUGGCGAACGGGUGAGUAACACGUGGGUGAUCUGCCCUGCACUUCGGGAUAAGCCUGGGCAACUGGGUCUAAUACCGGACAGGAGCCAUUUUUAGUGUGAUGGUUGGAAAGUUUUUUCGGGGUUGGAUGAGCUCGCGGCCUAUCAGCUUGUUGGUGGGGUAAUGGCCUACAAAGGCGGCUACGGGUAGCCGGCCUGAGGGGGUGGACGGCUACACUGGGACUGAGAGAAGGCCCAGGCACCGACGGGAGCGAGAAGGGGGGAAGAUUGCACAAGCGGCGCAAGCCUGAUGCAGAGACGCCGCGGGGGGGAUGACGGCCUUCUGGUUGAAAACUCCUUUCGCUAGGGACGAAGCUUUUUGUGACGGUACCUAGACAAGAAGCACCGGCUAACUACGUG
rnacentral:rRNA from 1 species